rnacentral:tRNA from 2 species
GGGCACGUAGCUCAGCGGUAGAGCAUCCGACUUUUAAUCGGACGGUCCUAGGUUCGAUCCCUAGCGUGCCCACCA